ACGUUAGCGGCGGACGGGUGAGUAACACGUGGGUAACCUACCUAUAAGACUGGGAUAACUUCGGGAAACCGGAGCUAAUACCGGAUAAUAUUUCGAACCGCAUGGUUCGAUAGUGAAAGAUGGUUUUGCUAUCACUUAUAGAUGGACCCGCGCCGUAUUAGCUAGUUGGUAAGGUAACGGCUUACCAAGGCGACGAUACGUAGCCGACCUGAGAGGGUGAUCGGCCACAUGAACUGAGACACGGUCCAGACUCCUACGGGAGGCAGCAGA
rnacentral:rRNA from 1 species